UUGAGAGAUUAGAAUGUGAAAGAUCCCCAACACAAAAUGAGUCUGUACCUACCACACAACUCUUUCCUAUAGGCCUUCCUCAAAUGCCUUGCGGUAAUUCUCUGAAGACUAUGGUUAAGGCAGUAGAGCUGAAGUAGAUCCUUCCAAGAUUCCUGACCUUCACCAAGCACACCACAGGAAUUUCCAAAGCCUGAGGAUGGAGCAUGAGAACUAAGGACCAUCAUCAAGCACGAAGCAACAGUUGCCAAAGUUUGGAGAAUCUGUCAAGGGUGGAGAGAAGCUAUACCAAAGGACCUCACGUCCAAGCUCAUCUCUGGUGGGAGAAGAUCAGGGAUGAGGUCCCAGUUAUCUCUGGAUAUAUCCUCAGUUAUAUAAAAGGAUAAAAGAUCAAUAAGGGUGCCUAAGUACAACUUCCAAGCAAAGAAGAUUCUUUUCAUUAAAAGCCAAGGCCAAAUUCCAAAAACCAAGCUUCAGUUUCUCUUAUUUUGUUUCUUUGAGUUAAGCCCAAGCUCAUAGGUCAUAUUUUGACACAAACAUUGGCCUUUUGGUCAUGAGAAACAGCAAACAUGCAUUACAAGGUAAGGAAUGGGAUAGUCAACCUUAGGAAAAUACAGGAGAAAGGGAAUGUUGUAUGGCAGUGGUACAUUAGUUCCACCUGGUCAGUGGACUGGACCAAGUCCACCAACUAUCUGUUGCCUGUC